rnacentral:rRNA from 1 species
CAGCCGCCACGGUAAUACGAAGGGUGCAAGCGUUACUCGGAAUUACUGGGCGUAAAGCGUGCGUAGGUGGUGGUUUAAGUCCGUUGUGAAAGCCCUGGGCUCAACCUGGGAAUUGCAGUGGAUACUGGGCGACUAGAGUAAGGUAGAGGAUAGUGGAAUUUCCGGUGUAGCAGUGAAAUGCGUAGAGAUCGGAAGGAACAUCUGUGGCGAAGGCGACUAUCUGGGCCAUUACUGACACUGAGGCACGAAAGCGUGGGGAGCAAACAGGAUUAGAUACCCCAGUAGUCCCUGUCUCUUAUAC